rnacentral:rRNA from 1 species
UGCGUAACGCGUGGGAACCUGCCUUUAGGUUCGGAAUAACUCAGAGAAAUUUGAGCUAAUACCGGAUAAUGUCUUCGGACCAAAGAUUUAUCGCCUUUAGAUGGGCCCGCGUUAGAUUAGAUAGUUGGUGGGGUAAUGGCCUACCAAGUCGACGAUCUAUAGCUGGUCUGAGAGGAUGAUCAGCCACACUGGGACUGAGACACGGCCCAGACUCCUACGGGAGGCAGCAGUGGGGAAUAUUGGACAAUGGGCGAAAGCCUGAUCCAGCAAUGCCGCGUGAGUGAUGAAGGCCUUAGGGUUGUAAAGCUCUUUUACCCGGGAUGAUAAUGACAGUACCGGGAGAAUAAGCUCCGGCUAACUCCGUGCCAGCAGCCGCGGUAAUACGGAGGGAGCUAGCGUUGUUCGGAAUUACUGGGCGUAAAGCGCGCGUAGGCGGCUUAUCAAGUCAGGGGUGAAAUCCCGGGGCUCAACCCCGGAACUGCCCUUGAAACUGGUUGGCUAGAAUCCUGGAGAGGCGAGUGGAAUUCCGAGUGUAGAGGUGAAAUUCGUAGAUAUUCGGAAGAACAC